UGGUUCCCUCCCACGCCUGCUGCACCGUCCGCAUUCACAGGAACGCCUCCACCUGCAACUGCGAGAACGCCGCCGGACGCACCCGCGCGAACUGCAGGCAAGAAGGCUGAUAGGAGAAACCAUUUGCAGGCAAGAAGGCUUUUUGCAGGAAAUUUGUGUAAAAACAAGGAAAAUCGAGAGGCUGUCAAGCAUCACGAAACUACCGGCUCUAGGUCUUAUCCUGCCCAUUUCCACCAACUUAAAAAAGACAAGUGCAACAAUGAGGACCGUAGUCCCAUUGAGUUUUGUAAAGAGUCCCACACUAAUAUAAAGACGGGAUGCGUGAGUGCAGCUGCCAUUGAAGCUUAUACUACUAUGGAAGAGAUAAGGAUUGAAGCACAACUAGAAGAUGA